AAAAAAAGUAACAAAAUAGUAACGUUGUUACAAGUAACGCGUUACUUCCCAACCCUGUGAUCAGAAAUUUUUGCAAUGUAAACGUUGGAGAAAGAGAAUUGAAAGGAGGGCUAUAACAAUUAAAACUUGAAGAACAGCAAAAUUAUACCUUUAACAGAAUCUCUACAUUACUAGAAAAAAAGAAUUUAAAAUUUAAAAAUUUUAGUAGCAGUAGUAAUAUCAAUGAUAGCUUUUCCACAGAUAUUUGUGAAAUAUCAGAUCAAAUAAAAAUGUUUGCAGAGGAAGAAAAUAAUGCAUCAAAUGAAUUAAUUGACUCAAAUCAUAAUUCUGACAUUGAAUUUGAGAUUAGUAAUCAAGAAGAUAUUGUUUGUAACGAGGAUGCAAAUAUGAAUUUAGACACGAAUACUAACGAUAGUGAUCAGGAAGAUAUGGUUUCUAACGAGAAUGCAAAUACGGACUUAGACACGAAUACUGAUGACAGCGAAAUGAACUUACUCAUGCAAUUUUUGAUAAUGAUGAACAAAAAGAAAGAUAUGUUACAUUAAGUUUAUAUGAAUGGGCGUCGUCAGGUGGAAUUCUUUCUAUGAGUAAAAUAGAUGAACUUCUUACAUGGCUUCAUCCAAUAUUUCCGAAUUUGCCUAAAAGUUAUAAACUUCCCUUGCUGGGAACAUCUGAUAAUAUAAAUAUUAUUAACUUUCGGAAUGGAAGGCAAUUUUGGUAUAGAGGAAUAAAAAACAAUUUGGACGGAUUUACUUUAGAAGAAUACUUAUAAAUAAAAGGAAAGAUUGAAAUAGAUAUCAAUACUAAUGGACUUCCUCUCUUUCGAAGUUCUAAAAAAAAAUUUUGGCCAAUUUUAGGACGUCUGGUAGGAACUAAAAAUGAACCAUUUGUUAUUGCUAUUUAUUUUGGAAAGUCUGAUCCUAAUGGCGUUGAAGAAUUCCUACAAGAGUUCGUGAAUGAAGCUGAAAAUCUAAUCAACAAUGGCUAUGUACGAAAUCAAAGAACUUAUGAUUUUUUUAUUAGACAUUAUAUUCUUGAGGCUCCAGCUCGAGAGCUCAUGAAAUGUUGCAUAGGUCAUAAUGCAUAUGCUUCUUGUGGAAAAUGUACAGUAUGGGGAGAACGAUCGGCUAAUAAACAGACAUAUAUUGAUCUUGAUGCUCCUUUGAGAACUGACGAAACUUUCAAAAAUCAAACACAUCUUCAUCAUCACAAAGGUAUGUCACCUCUUCUCAGACUGAAUACUCAAAUGGUUUCUCAAUUUCGUUUAGAAUCCAUGCAUUUAGUAUACGAGGGUGUAUUUAUGAGAUUGUUGGAAGUAUGGCUACGAUGAAUAGGCCCGUGGAAAUUGCAUUGGACUAUUGUGAAACAAAUAUCUGAUAUAUUAAUCCAAAUAGCUCCUUCUUGCCCUCAAGAUUUUGUUCGAAAACCUAGAUCUUUAGAUGAUUUAGCAUUUUAUAAGUUUGUCGUUGUAAAAUUUAUACAUGAAGAUGACAUUGGUGAUGAUGAAGACGAUGCACUUUUUGAAGUCGGUCUUACUAAAUGGUUAAGAAAAUUAGAUGAUAAAAUAAAAACUAUUUCUUGGCCUCCUAAAUCUAUGCAAAGCAUUUCACUGAAAAAGGAAGUAGAUUCGUCUCCUUCAUGGGCAAAAUAUAAUGUUGUUGUUUUAAGAUUUUAUAGUAUAUUGCUUUUUUUGUACAUAUACAUUUAUACAUUUUUUUAAUUUUAUUUUGAAUCUAAAUUGUUCUAUUUCUUUUUUUAAUUAGAUACGCUUUUGGCUGCACGCAAUGGACGAAAUGGUGUUCUCAUGUCUUCCAACUAUGAAACGGAUGUUGAAUUUGGUCAUGGCAAACGAAAAAAAAUUGAACGACAAUCUUUUUCAUUCGAUUUUUCUCAUACACAAACAACGCAAACAAUUACACUAUUCAAAGUGAUAGUUCAAAUUCUAAUCCAGAUGAUCUUGGGACUUCGCAAUUUGCAAGUAAAACGAAUGUUGCUGCUCCUCCACUUGUCUGUUAUAAACCUCAGACUAAUAAAACUGAGCCUCAGAAAAUUACUAGGCAUGGCAAAAAUAAUAUAAAAAUUAAUAUAUUAGAAAAAAAGCAAUAAAAAAAAUCAUUAAUAUCGUCCCUUCAAAAUAAAAAAUCUAGAACAGAGAUCUUACUUGCAAAGAUUAAUGAAGCAAAACAAAAUUCCGUUAGAGUAAAUAGAUCAGAAAUUAUAGAAGCUGCAAGACAAAGGCAGCAAAAAUGUAAUAUAAGGAAACAAUUUGAAUCAUCCUCUGCAUCAUCUCAACAUGAUGACAUGAUGUCUCAGAAAUAUGAGUCACCUGAUUCAGAAUUGAAAAUGUAUUUUUCAACAAAAUGUGAUGCAGAAAAAAAUGUUAAUAGUAAUUUGCAGCUCAAUACUUCAAAGUGCAACUUUGAUUUUAAAAAAAUCAAAGUUCCUCAAUGUCAUCGGAUAAUGAUAUUUUGUAUCCUAAAAUGUGUACGAGACUAGAGACAGUAAAUAAGUCAAAGGAAAAUAGUUUUGCUUGUUCUUCUAAUGCUGAAUCGAUUGAAAAUUUAUCCUUUGUAAUCCAUUCUCAAUCUGAUUGUGAGCUAAGUCAGCCUAAUAUUGAUGAUUCUUACCAAAUAAAAGAAUUACGUACACCCCUGUCAGCACGUCAAUCAGGUCCAAUUAACUUUAUCAGGUAAUGUGUCACAGACUUUAUAUGAAGUCAAAGAUUUUCAAAAAAAGACAUACAUUCAGAACCAAGAAAUUAGUAGUAAAUUAGACAUAGUUAUUAUGAAUGUAACUAGAUUAAAUCAUUUUCUUCUUCCCAAUGAAACAUGAAUAAUAAGACCCAUAGAUCUCCCUUCACUUCCACUAAUGACUGAGGAAGAACUACAAAAAUUUGAAACAUUUUUAUCUACAAAUGAUAACAUAACGACAACUAUUUGUUAUAUGAAUCAAAUUAUUGGCUCUAAAGAUAAUGUGAAAGAAGCAACAUAUAAAAUGCUAAAGAAGCUUAUUUUAAACACAUUGGCAACACAGUUUAACUUAAAAGGUGGUGGCAAUCCGUCCAAAAAAUCUCUUGAAAAGUUGAGUUUGUAUGAAAUUGUUGAAGGUGCCAUUUUAAACAAAAACACACAGGCAGAAUUAAUAGAGAUUGCUGCAGCAACUUCGUCAUGGUUGAAGCAAGCUCCUUGACGUCGGCAGAACGAUGGAACAAUGGGCAAGAGAAUAAAGUAAUAAU